UACGUAGGGGGCAAGUGUUGUCCGGAUUUCUUGGGCGUAAAGAGCGUGUAGGCGGCCAGACAGGUCCGUUGUGAAAACUCGAGGCUCAACCUCGAGACGCCGAUGGAAACCGUCUGGCUAGAGUCCGGAAGAGGAGAGUGGAAUUCCUGGUGUAGCGGUGAAAUGCGCAGAUAUCAGGAAGAACACCCGUGGCUAAGGCGGCUCUCUAGUACGGUACUGACGCUGAGACGCGAAAGCGUGGGGAGCGAACAGG
rnacentral:rRNA from 1 species